CAGCAGCUAGGGAAACAGAGAAAAGGGAUGUGGGGGGUCUUGGGAAGUCAGUGGGGAGGAGGUAGCUGGACCUCUGGGCAUGGGAAGCUAGAGGAUUAUUAGGGCAGGGGAGACACAGAUACCCAGUUCGGGGAGAUUGUGGGGGGUCUUGGGGAAUCAAGUGGGAAACAGACCCCUUGGGGAGCAAGUUCUGGAUGUCUUGAGGAGUCAGCAUGUUGGAGACAAUGGACUCCCAAUCAAGGACAGGCUCUAUGGGUGCUGGGGAGUCAUCAGGGGAGAGAAAUAAAGAGGGGCAGAGUCUACAAGCCCCUAGGAAGUAAAUAGUAGUUGAGAUACAGAGAUCUUUAAGGAGGAGGUAGCCCCCUGCAGAGGGGAAGAGCAUGAGGGUUAUAGGAGGAUGAGCAGAGGGUAGGUACGUGCAAUUUUAUAGAGGGAAAUUGUCUGUCUCUGGAGUUAGUGUGAUGGAGGCCCAGUGCCCCUUUGUCAGUGGGAAGUUGUGAAUGGGCUGGCAAGUUAGGAGAUCUAGAGGUUUGGAGCAGAGCCUGAGGAGACCUUGGGAAGUCAAUGUGGGGAGAAACAGACACACUGGGGAAGGGCCUGCUAUAUGGGCCUACUAUGUGCAGGCCCUGUGCUAAGUGCUUUAUGCUAUCUCAUUUGAUUCUCACAAUUAUCUUCAUGUUUUUACACAUGAGUAAAUUGAGGCAGACAGAUGAAAUAACUUGUCUGGGGUAACUCAACUAGUAAAUGUCUAAGGCAGGGGGAGGAAGAGUGAGAACCCUGUGUAGGGGAUAGCUUUGGGGGAGACUAGGGAUUUGGUGAGGGACACAGAACUUUUGUGGUGGACGAUGUGGGCAACUUAAGAGUUAUUGAGGGGAGACCCAGACGAAUGGCCAGCUGCUGUGGGAGUCUGGAGGGUCCCUAUGGAGAAGAGUUUUGGAUUGUCUACGCCAUGCAUCUCUGGUCACGACAUGGAGAAUGUGGAACUACACCACUGCUCAGAGGACCUGAGAUCUCAGCGGAAUGGAGGACUCCCAACGGACAGACAACUUUAGGAGGGCCAGAAAAAUCGAAGUGAAAGACGAGCAAAAGGGGAAAAAAAGAAAUGAAGAUAUUAUUGGGAAAUUUAGAGCUCAAAGACACAUAACAUCUAUAAGCUGGAACAUUCAAAGUGAUCUACGCACCUCCAAAGGCCUCAUGAAGUAAAUUGAUGUCCAACUCCAGAGACAGAAGUAGUGGAGUUUGAAUGCAUAUUGAAAUCUAAUUGUUAUGUUCUUUAAGUGCUAGCCUCAAGAAAGCCCGGAAUUCUCACUUGAACAGCCUGGAACCAGGGACAAAACUCCACUCGUUUGCUCCUUGCCUUUUCGAGGCAGAAGGUUCACUACAAUCUUCUGAAGCUAGCCUCUCCUGGAUCCUUAUCAACAAACAGGCCCAAUUUCUGGUGAAUGCGGGAAAGUUAGCCAGUUCCUUUACCAAAUUUAGGCUUUGUUCCUAAGGCAUUGCUCCUCCCAAUCCAAGUGACAGUUAUGAAGGCAACAGAGUACCUCUUCAAUCUCCUCUGCAUUCCAUUAUUCUAAAAGAUAUUUUCUUUUUCUUUAAUCCCUCACCUCCCACCUUAGAAUCAAUACUGUGUAUUGGCUCCAAGGCAGAAGAGCGGUAAGGGCCAGGCUAUGGGGGUGAAGGGACUUGCCCAGGGUCACACAGCUGGGGAGUGUCUGAGGCCAGAUUGGAACCCAGGACCUCCCAUCUCUGGGCCUGGCUCCCAAUCCACUGAGUCACCCAGCUGCCCCUAAAAGAUAUUUUCUGUUAGGUCAUCCAGUAAGCAGGAAUACAUUUCCUAAUGGAUACACACCAUAAAAAAGUAGAGAACUGAAUAAAAUUAUUCUAUUUCAGUGCUACAUGCUAUGUCCAGUAUAUUUGUGCAUAUAUAUGUAUAGUAUAUAUGUAUCUGUCUAUAGAUUUAUAUCUGUACACACAGAGUCCACAUAAUUUGGGCUGAAUGUACAAGAACAUUAAAUUUUAUGUCUGACACCUUAUUUGAUAUUUUUAAUAUAUUUGCUAGGCUGCAUAGUGGAUAGUGUGCAGAGCCUGGAGUCAGGAAGACCCAUUUUCUUGAGUUCAAAUCUGGCCUUAAACACAUUUUCUAGCUAUGUGACCCUGGACAAAUCACUUAACCAUGUUUGCCUCAGUUUCCUCAUCUGUAAAAUAAGCUAGAGAAGGAAAAAGAAAAUUGCUGUAGUAUCUUUGCCAAGAAAACCCAAAAUGUGAGUCAGACAUGACUGAAAUGACUAAACAAGCAGAUGGUAAGGCACUCUGGGACCACCUCACCACAGAAUAAAGGCCUGUUCCUGUUGUACAAGGCAGCCAGACUCCAAGGGCUACACACUGAUGCCCAAACUCCUAGAGCUGAGGCCCCUUGGGGCCAAGGAGCUCACUGGCCCACUUACCUGCUGC